rnacentral:tRNA from 1 species
GCCGGCCUAGCUCAAUUGGUAGAGCAACUGACUUGUAAUCAGUAGGUUGGGGGUUCAAGUCCUCUGGCCGGCACCAU